rnacentral:rRNA from 1 species
CUGGCGGAGAGAGUUAAGAGGACGUGAAACCGGUGAGGUGGAAACGGACAGAGUUGGCGUAUCUGGCCUGUAUUCAGCUGCGGACUCGUUGGCGUCAGGUUGUCGCUCUCCAGACUGGGACGGCUGCCUGUUUGGUGGGGGGUUUGGGGGGGAUUUGCAGGGGGAAUGGGCUUAAGGGCUCCGGGGAACGGCAUUAACUCCGGCUUGAAGGCCACCCCUCACCGGGUCUGGUACCCCGGCCCCGGGGAAUGGUGGUUGGGCUGGGUGGAAAAAUACCGGAAUGGUCUCCGGCUCCCGGGGGGGCCAACUGGCACUUGGGGGCGGGCCCAUGGCACCCCUGGCGGGGGGCACUUCCGGCCCUGUGAAGGCUCCCAUCUGCCGGUCCUCGGGGUAAAAACCCAUCAUCUGGUCCACCCCUCUUGAAACCCCGACCAAGGAAUUUAACGGUGUGCGAAUCAUUGGGCGUUGAAACCCAAAAGCGCAAUGGAGUGAAGGGCUCCCCUGCGGAACUGAUGUGUGAACUGGUCACACUGCGUGCAUUCAGGGCCCAUAUAUCCCGUCCUGACCGGUUGCGCGUGGGCGGAGACAGAACGGACGCGCUGAGACCCAAGAUAGUGAACUAUUCCUGAACAAGAUGAGCCGUGGAACUCUCGUGGAAUCCGAACGAUCUGACUGCAAUCCAUCUCUGACUGGUAUAGGCCAAGAAUAUCACAUCUUACUGUCCCUUCGAA